GCGUAUGGCCAUACCACCCUGAGCGCGCCCGAUCUCAUCUGAUCUCAGAAACUAAGCAGGGUCGGGCUUGGUUAGUACUCAGAUGAGAGACUGCCUGGGAAUACCAGGUGCCAUAGGCU
rnacentral:rRNA from 1 species